UUAUUGUAAACCUCUUAAACAACUACAUUUACUAUUCCUGAGAAGAAGAAGAAACAGUUAUAUAUUUUGCACUUUACGCUUCUUUUGUCUGGCACUUUAAGAGUUACAGUGCUUCAAGAGAAACACUGUUGUUCCUGUUUUCUGUGCUGUCCUGUAAAAAAAGCUGUUUGAAUAAGUCAAAGCUGGAUUUCCACUCCCUGCUGACCAUUCUGUAGCUCAGACAAGAGAUGCAACAAACAAAGAAAACCCCUCCACUGAAUUUGUAUCAGUAAAUGGAGAGCAGAGAUAACGGCAGAUGUAGAGAACAGAAGGGCUAUCUGAUAAAUCUGAACACUGAGUGGGGAUAUAGUGAGAAAUUUGACGGAUGAGAGAUUCCUCGGUGAUAAGCAGGAGUUUGCCAUAAGAGUACAAAAGACAGGGGACACGUAUAUGCAGAUGUUUCUCUGGCCUCAACAUGUAAAAGAAAAUAAAUCGAACAUUCACAUUCAUUUAUCUUUUCCCAUGAGAAGAAUAAAUAAAUAGACAAUUUCAAAGA